AAAAGAUCAGUUGGAAAAAUUGAUGAGAGGAGGAAAUGCUGGAGGGGUAGCUUGCUUCCACUCAUCAUCAUCAUCAUCAACAUGGUCCUCUUUGACUUAAUUUGCCUUACAAACACAUAUGAUC